rnacentral:rRNA from 1 species
CGUGCCUCCACCCACGCCGGCGUCGGCGGGCGUAUUUCGCCUCACAGUAGGUCGCCGCGACCCGUUGCUUUGGGGGACGUCGAAGGCCCGGACGGAUUGGUACCCUACCGGCUGGGGAUGCGGCUUCGGCUUCUCCUCUUGUCCGGUGGGCGAAACCGCCGGUGUCCUGGCUGCCCUGCGACGGUCGUAGAGACGAGCCCUCCCCUUCGGGGGGGCGGCUCUCGCGGCGUGCAAAAGGUCGGUGAUCCACCCGACCCGUCUUGAAACACGGACCAAGGAGUCUAACAUGUGUGCGAGUCAGUGGGCGCACUAAACCCAGAGGCGUAAUGAAAGUGACACGGGUUCGGCUGUCGCCUCGUGUGGCAGCCGGACUCAGGGCCGAUCCCUCACCGGUUGCCCUCGCCUCUCUCCCGCGUCUCGGUAAGCCGGGUGAGCUAUUUUCCCCGGCCGCUGCUGCGGGGCGCGGGGGGAGGCGGGGUGCGAUGGUGUCCGUAAAAAAGAGCCUGCUGUUGCAGGGGGGCGCAGGCCCGGGACUUGCCAGGACGCCGCGAGACUGUCACUUUGCUGUGAGGCUCUCGGGCCGAUCAGCGGGUCAUGCGUGCAGUCGGCAAGUACCAUGAGCAGACAUGUUGGGACCCGAAAGAUGGUGAACUAUGCCUGGCCAGGAUGAAGCCAGAGGAAACUCUGGUGGAGGUCCGUAGCGAUUCUGACGUGC